CGUGAUUCUGAAGACUAGCAAGAACAGGCAUCUUCCAUCUGGCAUUUGACAAAAGAGAAAUCUAUAUUUAGAAUAUCAAUCAUGAGGGCCAAAUCCUUAA